UCAGGUGCCUAUAUCGGCGGUGUCCACCUCUUCCCAUCCCGAACAGAGAAGUUAAGCCCGCCAGAGCCGAUGGUACUGCAGUAACAUGUGGGAGAGUAGGUCGGUGCCGAUC
rfam:Sphingobacterium sp. 21, complete genome.